rnacentral:lncRNA from 1 species
GGAGUUUAGUCCCAAAGAAGCACCUAACAUAAUUUUAUACUCAUAUAAUCCUAGGUGUUCUGAUAUGAGAAGAACUUCUUCAGAAGAUGUCUUAAUGCAUAUGGGGAAACUGAGGUCCAGAUUACACAUACAUGAGUUGUCCUGGAAAAUCUCAAGUCAAAGAAGCUACACUGCAGGAAAUCAAUAUGGUGCAGGCCCCAGGCAAGGCAUCACUGACUAUACUUGCAAGAAACAAAUGCCUGCAAAAAUCAGGACAAGAUGAUUUUGAAGCUGUGCAAAACAGGUGUCUAUAUAUUGGCUUUUUUGAGUAGUGUAACUAUGAACAUUCUUGUACAUCUCUCUUGUGCACGCGUAUAUAUUUCUGUCAGAUACACGCCGUAGGACUGGAAUUGCUGGAACAUAAGGUAUUCACAUGUUCAACCUUAGGAGAAAUGGCCAAACAGUUUUCUAAAGUGCUCUUAUUUAUUUACAUUCCCACCAGCCAUAAAGGAGAGUUGCGGUUGCUUCAACAUUUAGUGCUGCCAUAUUCUUUUUCAAACCAUCACUUAAAAAAUCACUUCCUGUUGGCUCAAGAUGAUAGUCAGUUUGUACCUCUUUGACUAUGUGGUUUACUUAGCACCACGUUUUAUAUCAGGCCAUUUGUGUUCUGUGUCAUGGCCACAGAUGUGCUCACAUAUUCCAGGCUGAUGGGGUAAGAUCAACAACUUCACACUUGACCCAAGUGGCAAUCCAAAGUAAACAAGGAGGAAGGAAUAAGUCAAUAAAAUUCCCAAAAGAAGUCACCAUAAUUGAUUACAUU